CGCGAAGAACCUUACCAAAUCUUGACAUCCUUUGACAACUCUAGAGAUAGAGCUUUCCUCUUCGGAGGACAAAGUGACAGGUGGUGCAUGGUUGUCGUCAGCUCGUGUCGUGAGAUGUUGGGUUAAGUCCCGCAACGAGCGCAACCCUUGAACUUAGUUGCCAUCAUUCAGUUGGGCACUCUAAGUUGACUGCCGGUGACAAACCGGAGGAAGGUGGGGAUGACGUCAAAUCAUCAUGCCCCUUAUGAUUUGGGCUACACACGUGCUACAAUGGACAAUACAAAGGGCAGCGAAACCGCGAGGUCAAGCAAAUCCCAUAAAGUUGUUCUCAGUUCGGAUUGUAGUCUGCAACUCGACUACAUGAAGCUGGAAUCGCUAGUAAUCGUAGAUCAGCAUGCUACGGUGAAUACGUUCCCGGGUCUUGUACACACC
rnacentral:rRNA from 1 species